rnacentral:rRNA from 1 species
CCUACGGGCGGCAGCAGUGAGGAAUAUUGGUCAAUGGCCGCAAGGCUGAACCAGCCAAGUCGCGUGAAGGAUGACUGCGCUACGGGUUGUAAACCUCUUUUAUCGGGGGAUAAAAUGCGGCACUUGUGCGUUUUUGAAGGUACCCUAUGAAUAAGCAUCGGCUAACUCCGUGCCAGCAGCCGCGGUAAUACGGAGGAUCGGAGCGUUAUCCGGAUUUAUUGGGUUUAAAGGGUGCGGAGGUGGGUUGUUAAGCCAGUGGUGAAAGUGGGGGGCUCAACCGUAGCAUUGCCGUUGGUACUGGCGGUCUUGAGUGCAGCGGAGGUAGGCGGAAUGCGCGGUGUAGCGGGGAAAUGCAUAGAUAUCACGCAGAACGCCGAUUGCGAAGGCAGCGUACCAAGCCGCCACUGACGCUGAGGCACGAAAGCGCGGGGAUCGAACAGGAUUAGAUACCCUAGUAGUC